CGCCAGACUGACGCAAGUUGGUGUUCCAGUAGUUAAAAUGGAGAGUGAUACGACUGUUAGGAGAAUAAAGCUGCACGCCAUACAAAAUGACAUACCCGAGGAUAGUAGUUAUGCUCAUAACCGACAUGAUAAGAACGGCUAUGGGGAUAUAGAAAAGAAGUCCGAAGUCAAUUCGUACUUGCUACGCGAAGGAGUGGCCGCUGUACUUGUGGUGGCAUUUAUUUUAGUGUUGUGGGGACUAGUUCAUUUAUCUUUACAGCAGCUUGUCUUAGGGAGACCUACUGGCGAAUUCAAUGCACUAAGAGCCAGAAAACACCUGGAAAGCAUCACCAGUGUGGGUCCUCGACCAGUGGGAAGUGUGGAGAAUGAGGUCAUGACUGUGGGUUACCUGCUGGCUGAGAUCGAGCACAUCCGGGAGGAGAGCAUGGCUGGGCCCCAUGCCAUUACUGUGGAUGUGCAACGGCCCACUGGCUCCUUCAGCAUCGACUUCUUGGGUGGCUUCACCAGCUACUAUGACAAGGUCACGAACAUUGCUGUCAAAUUGGAGCCUAAGAAUGGCGCACAGCACGUCAUGUUGGCCAACUGUCAUUUUGACUCUGUGGCUAACAGCCCAGGGGCAAGUGAUGAUGCUGUAAGCUGUGCAGUCAUGUUGGAGGUGCUGCAUUCCCUUGCUAACCUGUCCACUCCACUGCUGCAUGGAGUUGUGUUUCUCUUCAAUGGGGCAGAGGAGAAUGUUCUGCAGGCGAGUCAUGGUUUCAUUACCCAGCACCCCUGGGCUAAGAAAAUACGAGCCUUUAUUAACCUGGAGGCUGCAGGUGUGGGGGGAAAGGAAGUAGUCUUUCAGACAGGGCCAGAGAAUCCUUGGCUAGUGCAAGCCUAUGUCCAUGCUGCCAAGCAUCCUUUUGCCUCUGUGGUAGGGCAGGAGGUGUUUCAGAGUGGCGUGAUCCCCUCUGACACAGACUUCCGUAUCUACAGGGACUUUGGCAAUAUUCCAGGCAUAGAUCUGGCUUUCAUUGAGAAUGGCUACAUUUACCACACCAAGUAUGAUACAGCAGACCGAAUCCUGACAGACUCCAUCCAGAGAGCAGGGGACAAUAUCCUAGCCGUACUUAAGCACCUGGUUAUGUCUGAGAAGUUGGCUGAUGCUUCUGAAUAUCGCCAUGGAAACAUGGUGUUUUUUGACCUACUGGGCUUGGUUGUGGUGGCAUAUCCAGCACGUGUUGGUACCAUCAUCAACUGCAUAGUUACCAUGGCAACAUUCUUUUACCUGGGGAAGAAGUGCAUGCUGCCCAGCAAUAUGGGGGGGCGAUAUAUCCGGGAGCUGGUGUAUGCAGUCGGUGUGGCGCUGCUCAGCUGGCUGGUGACACUUCUGUCAGUGCUAAUUGUGGCACUGCUAGUGACUCUGUUGGGCCGCUCAAUGUUCUGGUACAACCACUUCUAUGCUUCCAUCUGCCUGUAUGGGGCAGCAUCUACUGGCAAAAUGAUCCUUAUUCACACUCUGGCCAAAAAUCUCUAUUACGGGAAUGUGCAGCGUUUGGAGCUGGGAGAGUUGUUUUUCGACGUAAGUCUUGUGCUGUGGUGCUGUGCACUGGUCUACCUCACCCAGCAGGGCCUGUGUUCUGCCUAUGUGCCAAUGCUGAUGGUGGCCUUCCCCCUGACCACAAAGCUGCUCUUAUCCAGAGAAUUCAAACAGAGAGGUGCAUCAGUGAAAUACUCAAUCCUGUACCUGGUGGGAUUGGCUUUACCUUAUGUGCACUUCAUGUUCCUAAUCUGGGUGGUCUUUGAGAUUUUCACUCCAAUCCUGGGCCGCAGUGGCACCGAGAUACCCCCUGAUGUGGUACUCGCCUCACUCAUCACCCUUGGAACUUUCCUCCUCUCCUCAUAUUUUAUGCACUUCAUCUACCUGGCCCGUAGUACUAAAUGGAUCUUGACAGUUCUGGGGACUGUCUUUGUGGUGGUCUUCAUUCUGGUAUCAUGUGGAGUGUUCUUCCCCUAUUCUUCCAACUCAUAUAGCCCCAGACCAAAGCGAGUGUUUUUGCAGCACACCACGCGUACCUUCCAUGGACUAGAUGGUCAGGUAGCAUACAAAGACUCAGGACUCUGGAUCAACAGUUUUGACUACACAGCUAUGAGACACAUAACACCUCACAUCCCAGAGAUCAACGACACUAUCCGCAAACACUGCCAGGAAGACCUGCCCUUCUGUGGUUUCCCCUGGUUCUUGCCCAUGAAGUUCCUGGUAAAGUGAGUAUCAGCCCAAAUUUUAGAUGAUGAAAGUGCAAAACAGAAUUGUUGUAAGAGAAAGUACUCUUGUCAGUUACAACUAGGGGUGCCCUGAUCUAAUAUUAAGAUCAGAUAUCGACCCUGAUAUUGACAAAAUAGCUCGAUCGGAGAUCAAAAAUGGGCUGAUCCCUCUACUUAAAUGUCAAGAACUGAGCCAUAUCGCGCCCACAGUGUGCAACCAGCCAUUUGCUCCCUCUAUUUCUUCUGGUGUUUGUCAUUGUUAUUACAAUUUGCCCGGCUUUAUAUUUCUGGUUUACUAUCCAUGAUGUUAUUAUAUAUUAGUUUAUUGUAGGGAAACCAACGGACUGUACCACUAUGUAAAAACUGUGUUCAGUCCAGGCUCCAAAAAUGGCAACAAAAAUAACUUGGUCCAGCCUGGAUCAUAAAAACAUAACAGACUGUUCCAGGCAAUCACCAACGAGAUGCGUGUUUAGGAAAGUUUCAAUUGUACGGGAGGAAGGGGGAGGAAGUAGCGAGCUAGCUCUCUGUUUUGUUUGAACGUCAACAGAAGUGACGAUACUCAACAUCGCUUAGAGCACCUUUAAGCUACAGCCACUUAAAAACACGUCAACUAAACUCGAAGUUCUCUAGAUAGUCCAAAAUUACUUUAAGGCAUAAAACGCACAUGUAACGGAUGCCAGCUAGCAUAGCUGUGCAUGUAGAAUGUUAGUAAACCUCACUCCCCGAUGCCUCAAGAGCAGUGCUGGCUUCGCGGGUUCGAGUCCGGGCGUGUGCAGGGCUGAAUUGUGCAGGGUCAACACAACGCAGGUUACACACAUUAACAGUGUAAUAUUCCGUGAACAUUAACCUUGUGUCUCUUCGGAGUGUGCUAUGACAAUCAAGUUAUCAUUCUGUGUUAUUUAAUUUUACUAUGUUCAUGUCUGUGUUUAUAUCUAACACAGGUAGCUAUAAGGUAGCUCACGGUAGGAAUGGUUUCAAAAUAAAAAAAGCGGUUUCAAAAUUUAAAAAAAGGAAACAAAAAAGAAUACAUUAAUAUUUGGAGACUGAUACACUGACAUUUCAAACCAGAAAUCCUCACAAAUGAUGUUUACAGAGGUUGGGGUGCUGUGUAAAAUGUCAAUAAAAACAGAAUGUUAUAAUCUACAAAUCACAUAAGCUCAUUUUUCGUUUCAAAAAAGAACAUAGACAACAUAUCAAGUGGUUAAACUGACAAAUUGUAUACUAUUUUAUCAUAUUGAAUUUGAUGCCAGCAACAAGUUGGGAUGAGUUCAGCAAAAGGCUGGAAAAGACAACCAUGAAUAUUUCACAAUUAAGUAGCUUAAUUGGUACCAUGAUUGGAUAUAAAAAGCUUCCUAGAAAAGCUUAUGCUGGUCUUACCCCAUACGAUUUUCAAAUGAGUUCACAGUCGGAUACUUAAAUUCCAGUCGGGAUGAAAUCAUGGGAGUUUUACUGAAGUCGUGGCACGCUCCCGUUAUCUAGAUUGUUUAAUGUAUGGUGGCAAUCAUAGCGGUUUUAAGUCAGUCCGAGACAGUCUUUUUCUAGUGUUGAUGUUUUGACAAUACUGCAAGUCUUUUAGUCUUGGCUCAUGCAAUUAGUGACAAAUGCUCGUUUAGGAGAGUUUCAAUUGCACAGGAGGCAGGGGGGGGGGAGAAGUGAGCUAGCGCUCUGUUUUGUUUGAACGUCAAUGGAAGUGAAUUUACCCAACAUCGCUUAGAGCACCUUUACACUACAGCCACUUACAAAACAGGUGUGGAAAUAUUUGGAAAAAGGAAACAAAAAAUAAUGCUUUAAUAGUAAUAUAAUUUAAAAAAAAAGAUCCAAAUUGAAUAGAAUCGUGACUUUAAAAUAUUAAAAAAAUUGAAUCGAGGACUUGGAGAAUCGUGAAAAACGGGUAUGGGCAAAUGUACGUAACGUAAACAUUGACAUUAACUUUACUAUUUCAACUCGGUAAUGUUAUGCCAGUGAUACUAUCGCUAGCAAAAAUAAUGUUAAUGUAAUUUUUCAUAUUACACUGAUGCCUUAGCUAACAGUCAACUUAUUAACUUGACGUCACCUUAGCGUGGCACUGGGUAACGUUAACGUUAGCUAAUGUUAUGCCAGGAAACACCAGAGGUAACAGCAGGUAUUAUCUUUAUUUAUUUAGAUAACGUAAUGUUAUUAAUACCCGAAUAACAUUAGCAUUAAUCUGUUGUCUCUUUCCUAGGGCUCAGACUGGACUCUCAGUCCAUGUGGGCCUACCUCUCUGAGGAGAGAAUCGAAGCAGUCCAACAGGCAAUUUCCCAAUUUCGGUUAGGGUUCAGUGUCAGAGAGCUUUAGGUCUGAUGGCAGCAGCGUCAAUAGACCUGCCACUUGGCUUUCUCCACCUAAGGCCUUUAAAAAAAUUGCUCCCGGGACAUAAUAGAAAGAUGUCUGGGACAACUAUGGGACAGUUGAAAAAAUGUCAAAGCAAAUUAGGUAUUUUGUUCUUACCUGUUCACAAGGGAAUAUAAACGUUUCUUUAUUGUCUGAAUAAAAUAAUACAAAAAAAACAUUAACAGCGUAAAUACAACAGGUUUUGACUUGACACUUUCUUUUUAUAGAAAUUAAUAUUAAGAGACACAUAAACUACACGUAAAAGUGCGAAAAUAGGGCACGGUGAUAGGUAGGUAACUUUCUGAUAGCCAUGAAAGUUAAUGAACUAGGUCAACCAUACCUAACUAGCAAGCAGGCUGGGAAAUGACAUGUGUUUUCAUGACAUUGUGAACAUUUUUGCCUGAUGGUGUAAGGUUAUGGUGGUGUUCUAAAAAAACAAGAUGACAGGCUAUUCAAAUUUCAAGUUUAUUUAUCACAUACUCAAGUAUACAGGUAUAACCAGUACUGAAAUGCUUAGGUGUCCAGUUGUGCACAGUUAGAGACAAUACCCACUUACAAUAACACACAUGACAAUACCCACAUAAACCACAUAAAUAAUACCUACAGUACACAUAGCAAAAGGGCAAGUGACAUGUGGAACACCUGUGAUGGCAGCGUGUUCCAAAGUGCAAGAUGGCAGUGUGUGUGUGAAUGUAAGUUGGGGGGGGUCUCAUGGCCUGAGGAAAGAAACACCUCCUCUUUCUUUUGUGUUGGCCCUGAGCAGGCGGUAGCGUUUCCCUGAGGGCAGGUGGGCAGUCCUUCUGGCUUUUGAUCUGCAGCACUUGAUGUAGAUGUCUUGCAGAUUGGGAAGGGUAGUCACCACCUUUCUCAGAGCCAGUUCCCGCUUGGUGGUGUUCCCUAUCCAAGUGAUGAUUCUCCCACUCAGGAUGGUCUCUACAGUGUGAGUGUGAAAGUUCCUGAGCACCCUGAGGGGGAGCUUAAAGUCCCACAGCCGUCUGAGAAGACACUGGUUGGCCUUCUUUACCAAGGUGUUGAUGUGGAAAAACUGGUACCUCCCAGCAGAAGAAGUAUCUCCAAAGUUCCCUAUGGAGUUUAAACUUCUGUCAAAAUACAAGACAGAGUGGGGCA